CUUCAGUGAUGAUACGAUGACGAGUCAGAAAUGGAUGCCCUCUUGCUCAGAGCAAACAGCCCUGCGCCACGUUCUGUGGUGCUUUGCUGGUUAACUCUGACAAGGGUGCCCUAUUCACUGGAUGAGCUAGAGGCAUUUGUCUGAGAAGG